UAAAGAUAAUACAACCGGAUCCGUUAAUAACGGAGGCAGAUGGUUGUAUUGUCAGUAACGGAAGCCUUUUUGCUGGACCCUGCCGGAUCCAGCAAAAACGCUAGUGUAAAAGUAGCCUAAUUGUGCAGUUCCAAAAGAAUAUGCUGCCAU